rnacentral:lncRNA from 1 species
CAGCAGCAGCAGCAAAGUCUUGCAGACCAUACAUACGAUGUCCAUGGAAAGCCUGAAAGCGAUAUAUGCAUCGAGAGCUGGCUGGCUAGCCCUAAUUAUUCGAUCUUUGGUUGGCUCUACUUUUCACAAGGUAGCAAUUCAGCCAUAUAUCCUUUUUUUUUCCCCAUCCAAUGCAUGCGUCGACGUACGUACGUGUGAAACAUGGCGAGAGAGAGGAUGACUGAUGAAUUGGACCAGAAAUUAUUUGGCAGCUAGGUCUCUCUCUCUUUCAGUUCAGUCGUCGUCGUCGUCGUUCGUCGUUCGUCAAGGGACGCCCAUGGAGACUGACGGACGGGUGCCAUGAUCAUGGCCUCGAUCGAUCCUUCGGUGGCCGGCUUGAUUAAAUUGGUUUGGCCUUUGGCGUCGUCGUUUCCGACGUGUUUGGCCGGCUCAGGCUGGGUUGCUGCCUGCCUGCCUGCCCUCCUGUCUCCUCUCCUGCAGAGUCGGCGCCGGCCGGACGCCGGCAGGCAUGGCUGGUGCUCGUCCACUUUAGGAUAAGAUCUGAUCAGGAAUUUUGAACUUUUGACCAUCGAUAUUUUCUUGAAUGUACAGAUCUUUCUUUUCUAAGGAAGCUAUCAAUUCAGUGUAUAUAACACGGUCU